rnacentral:lncRNA from 1 species
AACACCGAAUCUUCUGGAUACUGUGGGCAGAAAGCAGGAAGACUCAGACACCACAGCGGCCAGAGAGAAAAAUACACAGUACAGAAAUCACAUGACCACUGCCUGUGGUGUGUACCCAGGAAGGACUCAGCAUGGUUGAUGGUGUGUUCUAACACAAGAUGUUUAACUGGAAUCCAACAGUCCGAGGAACCCCUAACUUACAAAAGACGCUGCUGGGGAAGAAGAAGCCAAGUGACAACAGAAAGUUCUAUGAACCUGAGGGUGGGGCAGUGGAUUGGGAGCUUCCCUAAGGCAGAGGAAUGAAAGCAAGGGGUGUGUGGGGUGAGGGCGGGGAGGGGGGAGAACUUAAUAAACUCUCAGGACAGAACUACCACACACAAAA